AUCCACAAAGGCAGCUACCACUGCCCUAACUUUCACAAACAAUCACAGUUAGUGAAAUUCUGACAGAGAGACUUUUAUAGGGAAGGAAACCAAGACUUGGCAGGACAAGUGACUCACAAAUGAAGCUCUGAGCCUUGGCUUUACAGUACUCACUUCUUACUAAGAGUGCAGGCAGCUGGCAAGAGAUCAUCACCACAGAGGUCAGACAUGACCGACACUCCUAGUGUUUCUUCUCACUAUCAGAACUAGAAACCCAGAGAAGGAAGUAGAGAAUGUGGUCUCUGCUUUUACUUCAAAUAAGAGGUGUGCUGUUUCCUGUGAGAUCGGUCACCUAGUGCUAAGGCCCAUCCUACCAUGGUAUGACAUCAUCCUGGCUAUUUAUAUCAGCAGUUACGUCUAUGUCCAGGUGGACAGCUGACUCAUGAUUUCAUUGCUUCAUUUUGUCAUUGCUUCAUGCUCACUCGGUGUUCUGGCAAAUUAACUGAACGAGUCUCCAAACAACAGAGGAAUUAGAAGAUACCUCAUGUUCAGUGGCUAACUGGAAUCACCCCGUAAGCCCACCAUUGUAUUCCGUUAAUGUGUCCACUGUUGAGUCAGGUUAGCGCAGUCCGGGAGGGUUUGUGGUAUUUUCACACAGUCCCGCAUGUCAGGUGGUCGCUUUUGUUGUGAACUGAGCUGCCGUGGAUUCCUGGGUUUUACAGACUCAAUAGCCAUAAAGAGAAUUGGUUUGCAGAGGUGGAGAAUAAAAGAAGAGUUCUGGAAGGCAUUACCAGCCCUGAAUAAAAGCUAUGUGUGACACUG